UUUACCCUUCGUGAUGUGGUUAUGGUAAUCAUAAUUUGUUGAUUACAUAGGGCAAUAAUUUAUUGCCCUAUUAUUUUU
rfam:Citrobacter koseri ATCC BAA-895, complete genome.